UACGAAGGGUGCAAGCGUUACUCGGAAUUACUGGGCGUAAAGCGUGCGUAGGUGGUUCGUUAAGUCUGAUGUGAAAGCCCUGGGCUCAACCUGGGAAUUGCACUGGAUACUGGCGAGCUAGAGUGCGGUAGAGGAUGGCGGAAUUCCCGGUGUAGCAGUGAAAUGCGUAGAGAUCGGGAGGAACAUCUGUGGCGAAGGCGGCCAUCUGGACCAGCACUGACACUGAGGCACGAAAGCGUGGGGAGCAAACAGG
rnacentral:rRNA from 1 species